rnacentral:rRNA from 1 species
GAGGAAUGUAUAGCAAUAGCUACUUGCAUCGUUAUUCUCGUAAUAACGAUGCAAGCUCGACUAUGUCGAAUAAAAUUCUAGGUAGAAUUAUGAUAAUGACAUUGUCUGCCUAUGUGUCUUGACCAAAUUACGUGCCAGCAGUCGCGGUAAUACGUAGAAGACUAGUGUUAUUCAUGUUUAAUCGGUUUAAAGGGUACCUAGACGGCAAAUCAAGCUUUAGAGGAAUAAGAAAUUAUAUAAGAUAUAAUGUCUAGAAAAAGGUACUAAUUUGCUAGAGUUACUUACGAGGGGGCUUGAAAGUACUGCUGGUGUAGAGAUGAAAUUCUGUAAUACCUCUCUUCAAAAGAAGAAUUACGGCACAGGUAUAGGCGAAGGCAUCCCCUUAUGGGCUAACUGACGUUGAGGGACGAAGGCUUAGGUAGCGAACAGGAUUAGAUACCCUAGUAGUCUAGGCAGAAAAUGAUGAAUGUCAUAGAUUAGGUAUAAGCUUAUUCUAUAAAUGAAAGUGUAAGCAUUCCACCUCAUGAGUAAUAUGGCAACGUUGGAAUUGAAAUCAUUAGACCGUUUCUGAAACCAG